CNNUAUCGGAUUACUGGGCGUAAGCGCGCGUAGGUGGCUUGAUAAGCCGGUUGUGAAAGCCCCGGGCUCAACCUGGGAACGGCAUCCGGAACUGUCAAGCUAGAGUGCAGGAGAGGAAGGUAGAAUUCCCGGUGUAGCGGUGAAAUGCGUAGAGAUCGGGAGGAAUACCAGUGGCGAAGGCGGCCUUCUGGACUGACACUGACACUGAGGUGCGAAAGCGUGGGUAGCAAACAGGAUUAGAUACCCUGGUAGUCCACGCCGUAAACGAUGUCGACCAGCCGUUGGGUGCCUAGCGCACUUUGUGGCGAAGUUAACGCGAUAAGUCGACCGCCUGGGGAGUACGGCCGCAAGGUUAAAACUCAAAUGAAUUGACGGGGGCCCGCACAAGCGGUGGAGCAUGUGGUUUAAUUCGAUGCAACGCGAAGAACCUUACCUACUCUUGACAUCCUGCGAAUUUGGUAGAGAUACCUUAGUGCCUUCGGGAACGCAGAGACAGGUGCUGCAUGGCUGUCGUCAGCUCGUGUUGUGAAAUGUUGGGUUAAGUCCCGUAACGAGCGCAACCCUUGUCCUUAUUUGCCAGCGCGUAAUGGCGGGAACUCUAAGGAGACUGCCGGUGACAAACCGGAGGAAGGUGGGGGACGACGUCAAGUCAUCAUGGCCCUUACGAGUAGGGCUACACACGUGCUACAAUGGUCGGUACAAAGGGUUGCCAACUCGCGAGAGUGAGCCAAUCCCGAAAAGCCGAUCUCAGUCCGGAUCGGAGUCUGCAACUCGACUCCGUGAAGUCGGAAUCGCUAGUAAUCGUGGAUCAGAAUGCCACGGUGAAUACGUUCCCGGGCCUUGUACACACCGCCCGUCACACCAUGGGAGUGGACUGCACCAGAAGUGGUUAGCCUAACGCAGAGGCGAUCACCACGUGUGUCAUGACUGGGUGACNNNAANAGA
rnacentral:rRNA from 1 species